rnacentral:lncRNA from 1 species
UGGCAUACGUUUACCUAUGUAACCAACCUGCACGUUCUACACAUGUAUCCCAGAACCUAAAAUAAAAUACAAUUUUUUAAAAAAGGAAAAGGUUUCUGGAUGUAGUUUUUAUGGAUGUGGGCAAUUUAUUAUAAUACUUAACUGAUUUGUCUCUGUAUUACAGUGUUCUUUACGUUUUUCUUGCCAGCACCACAGGCCUCUUUGUGGUUGCCCCUUUCUAAUGCUCCUCAAGACAACCUGCUAAUAUAAGCAAAGAGUAAAUGAGUGAGGAGAGCACCUUCUCAUGUCAGGAAGCCUAUGGAGUUAGAUCACCUGGAUUUGCUCAUUUCCUGGACAAAAACUGCCCUUUUAAUCCUCAAUUUCCUAUUAAGGACUGGUUCAACAUUAUCAUUUCCCAGGGAGAGUCUUCAACUUGAAGUGAUCACUCAAUCACUAAAAGCCUCCAACUUGAAGUGAUUGCAAAACCACUACAGCUGCACCUUUCUUAUGCAUUUCUUUUAUUGCCUUUUGGAUUGGACUUUAUGCCUUAUUUUUUUCUCCAUUUCCAAGUGUGUCUUGCCUAGAAUGUAGCACACAGUAGGAGCUCAUAAAAUAUCCACUGAAAUUGAGUUGAACAGGAGAGAUAAGGCAAGGAAACUCAGUGGAUCAAGGCCAGCUCUUGCCAAGAGUUCCAAACUUCAUCUUUGUACCUGAGCUGCAUAUUUCUAUGGCCUUGAUGAAUUCCUUGGCAGCAGAAUGUUCAACAACUGAAACAUUUAUGAAAAUUUAAGCAAAUGGGUCAAUAAAGGGAACAAAACGAAGCCCACACAGUCUACUCUUGUGCUCUUUUGCUUUUAAAGAAGCUUGUUUGUGUUAUCACUUCAACGGUUUGAUAAACAACUGUGCCUUCUCACGGAUCUGUCCCCUGUGUUUGAAGUGGUAAAAUGUGAUGAUUAGUCAUGGGUAAAAGCUGUAUGCAUCUUUCCAAGCUGCACGGCAAUACGUGUGCAGGAAUUUGAGGUAAGUAGAGAUGGGUGCAUGGAUAUCAACCUAGAAUGACAAUUUUAAUGUGUGUUCAUCUACUUGGAAUUUUCAGGUUUGUCCAUACCAGACUUUAAAAAAAAAGAACAUUCAGAUAACUUAGUGAUUUCUUUAUUUAUUUAUGACAACAGGAAAAUCUUAUUUUUAAAUACUUAUAAAAAUCCAGAGUUGCCCUCAAAGCAUUUGGUCUGGGAGGUGUGUAUCAGAGGAGUUGCCUUACUUUAUCACCCACUCCUACCCACCCCAGGCUCUUCUCACAACUAUGAGAUUCUAUGAAACACAUAAAGCCUCUGUAUUAUUUCCUUUUAUUGUCAUAUUCCUGCAGUUUACUAUAGAAGACUAUUGGACUGGAAGUCAAGAGAGCUACGCUCUAGUGCUGGCUUGGCUGUUAACUUGCUUUAAUGUUGAGUAAGCCGCACUCUGUCUUUGGGUCUCAGUUUCUUCAUCAGUGAAAUAAAGAAAUUUGUCUGUAUGAAUUCCUUGCUAUGGUGAUAGUUUUAUUUAAAUCCAGUUAAUUAUGAAAAAUUAUUUAUUCCUUUAAACUAAACUUGUAAUCACAUAAUUUUAGCAAUGACCAUGGGAUUCAGAUUUCUUAGAUGAUGUCUGAAUGUUCUUGUGAGUGUGUGUGUGUGUAUGUGUGUGUGUGUGUGUGUGUGUGUGUUGGUCAAGAAGCACAAGAUGCUUUAUUGAAUGCCUCCACUUCACCGCAGCCUUCAGUUUCUCCCCUAACUAGAAGACUAUUUCCAAGGUAUAAAGAGUUAUCCCAUUUAUCGUUGUACGUGAUCUUUACAGAAAGUGUGUAAAUAUCAUAAAGGGCAUUUCAUGUCCGUCUUACAGUGGAAGAAAAAACUGAAGCCUAUGGACUUGCCCCAAAACACACAGCUGGUAAAUGGUUAUGGGUGUUUCUGCCUAUUAGUCCCAUGCGUCUACCAAACGUUGGGUUAACUUUUGACUGCUAGAAAACUGGUGAUUAGAGAACAUGACCAAUACAUGGAAUUUCCGCUGAAAGCCCCACAAAUAUUUUGUCUUUAAUAAUUGAUAUCUUUGAAUCCUGUUUACCUAAUCCAGAAUCAAUGGUAAAUGGGAUAUAAUCUCUAGUUUCCCAACUGUUCACCUGAUCUCCACUUUUCUCCCCUGCAAAACAUUAUUUUACUGUACUACUAGAGAUGUUUUUUCUAAAGCACAAAAACAAUCACAUCACUCUCUUUUAAUGUUUUCCUGCUGUCUAACUUCAAAGCUCUGCAGGAUAAUCUAAAUUCCUUUACUUGGUAUGUAAAAACAUUCAUAACCUGGUCUUUGUCUUCCUCAACAGUUCCCUCUCUUUCCAUGCCUUCCAUUUAUUCAUUGAAAACCUAUUUUCGUACUUACGAUAUUCCAGUUUCCAAGCUAGGAUAGACAUGAAAUCUGACAAAUAAGAUAGAUCUAGGUGAUUCCCUGAGAUUACCAUCUACAAUCCAGCUGAGCCAGAUGUCAUGGAUUUGGUACUGCUCAGCCCAGAUCGCUCUCCCAUUUUAUCUAUCUUCACUGUACCUGGAAAACAUCUACUCACCUUUGCAAUUCAAUUUCUGUCCCCUUCAUGAAGCCUUUCCUUGAGUCUCGAGGAGAUUCAAACUAUCCUUCGGGUCCCCAUUAUACUUUGUAUAUAUGUCUAUGAUAACAAAAAUAAUGCUUUAACCAUUCUUAUUGAUGUACUAGACUGCAGACUCUUUGAAGGUAAGGGACUCUAUAAACAUUUAUUCAGUGCUUUAACUGUUUGUGAGUCCAAGUACUUUGCAAUCAACAAACCAAGAACACUGGUCUAUUUAUUGUGCUCAUAUUAUAUGUAGAAAGGCUGAUCUGCCCGUAGAUCUAUCCCAAUGGAUACAUGUACAUCAUAUCCUGGCCUUUUUAUUGUAUGGCAAUUUAUAUUAUUCACAACAUUAUUAUUAUUAUUUCAAAAAUACUAUUGUUGUUAAAGAUUGUCCACGUGUGAUGAUUACUCUAAAACAUUUGGUCUCAGAAGAUCUAUAUACUUCAAAAUUAUUGAAGAUUUUAAUGUGCUUUUAUUUGAUUUAUAUUUAUUAAUACCUACCUUAUUAAAAAUUAAAACUGAGGAAUGCAAAAAUAGUUAUUUACUAAAAAUAAGUAACUAAAAUUAUUACAUGCUACUAUAAGCAAUAUAUUUUUAUUAAAAUAACUAUAUUUUUGAAAACAAAAAAUUAGUGUGAAGAAUAGCAUUAUUUUAUAUUUUAUAAGUCUCUUUUAAUGUCUGCCUUAAUAAAAGACAGCUGGAUUGUCAAUCUACUUCUGCAUUCAAUAUAUGGCAAAUAUUGUUUUGGUUGAGGUAUACUAAAAAAUCCAGCCUCGUAUGGGAUAUAGUUGGAAAAUGGAGGAAUAUUUUAAUAGUUCUUUUAAAUAAUUGUGGAUAUUUUUCUUAACACUACAUCAAAACUCAGCCAGUGAUUGUUUCUUAAAGAUUAGAGACAAAAGGGAAUUCAAAGUCAUAUCAAUUAACUCUUUAUGCUCUUUCACAUUAGCUACCUUGUAAUUUGAAUGGAUGUUUUGCUGAUGGAAUAUGCUUUAAUAUCAUAUAUUGAUCAUUUGAAAAAUAUUGGUUCACUGAGUCAUGCAGCUCUUUCGUAUGUUGACACAGUUUAUUACACAAUGUCAUCAUCUGUCAUGGAGCCUCUGGAAAACACAUUAUCAUAAGAAAAUGAUAAUGAAAAAGAUAAACCAUGGUCCUGAUUUUGCUGGAUUUUCAGGAUUAAUGCACUAAAAAUCUUACUGAACGCCAGAUGAGGUUUCUGGAUAAUUUGUUUUUCUUCUUUGCGCUUUUCUGUGUUUUCUAGUUCUUCUCUACUGGAUUCAUUUGGUUGACACAAAAUGAAAUAUUAAGGUAUAUUACAACGAGGACCACAUUGCUUAACUUCAUAAUUCCAACCACUUCCUCUUCCACGUAUCUUGAGAAAGGUAGGAGCAUUUUUACUCUUCACAUCCAUACACUCACAAUCAGCUUUAUCACUUACUAGUGGUAGGAUUGGAGAAGCUUAUGUGUACUAUGUCCUUCAGGGGCUUCUUAUCUAACAUGGGGAUACUAUUACCUGCCUGUCUGUCUAAUGGGAUUAUAUAAUGCAUGUGAAAAUGCUAGACUAAUUGCAAACACAGAACAAACGGAUGUUGUCACCAUUAUUGUCAGAUCUCUAUGUAUGUGCAAAAGUGAAAUCCUUGGAGACAAGCUGGGAGAUUUUUUUUUUUUCUUUAGCAUCUCUUCUGCCAAAAAUAUAUAUUGAUUGCAGCUGGAAGGAAACCGUUCUGAGAGAGAAAAUAAUGUUGAAUAGAAAUCAGAGCCUGUUUGAUAUUUGACAGCUUGGACAUGUUUCUUCAUGUUUAAUGAUAAUAAUAAUUUGACUUUUAAGUGACUUCUCUGACAUGAGAGCCCCCUAAAUCAGGAAAGCUAUAAACUGAUGCAAAGCUACCCCCAGAGAGAUGACAUGGAAGGGUAAAUGGGAUUGACCAGUGUGUUUGGCUGAGGGUACUCAUCUGCCUAAGAUUUUAUGGGCUUCACAGGAGGCCUGUUCUGUGGCAUGUGAAUGACCUGAGAACAAGUCACCCACCAGCCUUGGACCCCAUUUAUUGAGAUUCUACUAUGUGCUACCCUCUGGAGUAGGUGCUUUGACAAAGUUAUUACAUUUGACCUUCAGAACAAUUCUGCGAAGAGAGUACUAUUGUACCAUUAAUGUCUGUAGGAAAAUUGAUACUCAAAUAUUCCCUAGACUACAAUUAUCAUCAGAUCUUCUAAUUCUAAAUCUGGUACUCUUUUCAUUUUAUAGACAACUGCCUGACAACCACAUAAAACUGUAUUAGUAACUACGCAUUUACAAAGCACUUCUACACAAAUUACCUUACUUGAUUGUUACUUUUUCUGUCUGCAAGUUUUCCAAGUCAUGCUAGUGUGUUAUUUCUGUCUCAGUUCUGGUGGCCUACCUAAAAAGAACAUUGCAUGAUCAUGAACCAGAAUUCUGGUAUUGUCUCCUUCACCAGUUAGCUUUGUUACUUAAAGCCCUAAAAGAGAAGGGAAUUGCCUCUACUGUAGCUAUUUGGUAGAAGAAUCCAGAGGAGAACCCAGGCUUCUUGAGAACCAGGUCUCCCAACGAUCUUUGGAGAUAAACAGUACUAAACAUACAAGUAUUUGUGCAUUUGUUGCGAUCAUUAUUUAAUUAUUUAAAAAGUAUAAUUAUGAUCUAUUCCUUCUGGUAAUCAAUAAGACUCUGACUCAAAAUGAAAUAAGGGAAAAUGUUGGUAGAAAAAGACUUAGCAUAAAGGCUGGGUCCUUAUUGAUAGUGAAAAUGAUACUUAGAGGAGAAGAAGCUGUUUAAAGCUUGCAUUAGUUGUAGAAACCCCAGCUUGAGGCACUGAAUCUGUAAAAACUGGAGACAGAGUUUGGGCUGUAUUUAAAAGAGUCUAUCAAGGGCUCCUCUUUGUAGAGGAUCCAAGUCAGACCUCCUAGCCUAUGGAAAUCAGCUUGUCAGAGCAAAUGAAUGUAUUGGAGACUGACCCUGACCUAGGUAGCUUUCAAGUCAUCCCUGAGAAAGAGCAUUUUAGAGGUUGAAUUGAUGAGAUGGCUAAUAUGGUUAUUGAAGUUAUUGGAGGCUAUUUAUUUGGAUUUUGCAAUGAUUCAGAUUUAUGAAAAUGAAUCUGUAAUGAAAAUGAAUGGUGGAAAUAAGCUAAUACAGGAAGUGUUCAGCUACCAAAGCAAACCUGCCUUUUCAAUAAGACAAGGAUAUUACCUCUGGAGGAUGAAUAACAUAUCAUUUGAGAUAUUUUAUUAAAAGUUAACUGUGACUCUCUUUUGAAGGCAGUCGCUAUUACUCCAGGGAGAAUGACCUUGAGGCUACUUCCUUCUUUCUCUUACCUUUCCUUUUCUUUUCUUUCACCAUUUCUUUUGGACAUACGCUGGUGAAUGAAGACUGUGGAAUAUGGAGUGAGGAAUAAGGAAGCCCACUCAGGCUGAGUCAGAUGCAGUAGGAGAUCAGUGAAAGGGAUUUUUCAUUAGGGAGUGGGAUGUGUUGAUGUGAUAAAGCUUCUUGAAGUAGAAUUUUAUGGCAAGCGUGAUAUUGUAACUUGCCCAUAUUUAUGCAGCUUUUAAGUAGUAAAGCUACGAUUUGAACUGGGUCUGUUUGUCUUGAAUGCAGAGGCCCCAGGGAAUUUACCAGGUCUGGCUCUCAUUGGUUUUGGAUAGCAGAAGGUUGAACCUUAACAUGUCAGUCAUUUUAUUUGCUAGAUUGAUUACAUUUUGUCUGGAACAUGGUAAUCUCAGACUCUAGUCAGUCUUCAGCUUAGGAAAUAUUUUCUUGAUUAUUAUUUCUAUUCCACUACUUAAGAUUUGUUCUUAAGGAUAAAAAUUACUUGUAAAGAUAAAUCUCCAGUAUUUACUAUUUUUAUUAUCUUCCCUUUCAUAUCUUUCACCUUUUCUGAUUCUUGGGAGAAUUUCCUCUUUACAUCAAUGAUUUAAUUUUUACUGAGACCGAGUCUCACUCUGUCACCCAGGCUGGAGUGCAGUGGUGAGAUCUCAGCUCACUGCAACCUCUGCCACCCAGUUC